UACGUAGGGAGCAAGCGUUGUCCGGAAUCAUUGGGCGUAAAGCGCGCGUAGGCGGCCUUGUAAGUCCGUUGUGAAAGUCAAAGGCUCAACCUUUGAAAGCCGAUGGAUACUGCAAGGCUAGAGUUCGGAAGAGGCGAGUGGAAUUCCUGGUGUAGCGGUGGAAUGCGCAGAUAUCAGGAGGAACACCAAUAGCGAAGGCAGCUCGCUGGGACGAUACUGACGCUAAGGCGCGAAAGCGUGGGAGCGAACG
rnacentral:rRNA from 1 species